GCGCCCGUAGCUCAGCUGGAUAGAGCGCUGCCCUCCGGAGGCAGAAGUGUCAGGUUCAAAUCCUGUCGGGCGCACCA
rnacentral:tRNA from 1 species